rnacentral:rRNA from 1 species
AUUGAACGCUGGCGGCAGGCCUAACACAUGCAAGUCGAGCGGAGCGGCGGACGGGUGAGUAAUGCCUAGGAAUCUGCCUGGUAGUGUGGGAUAACGUCCUGCAACGGGCGCUAAUACCGCAUACUAUCAGAUCAGCCUAUGUCGGAUUAGCUAGUUGGUGGGGGAAAGGCCUACCAAGGCGACGAUCCGUAACUGGUCUGAGUGGAUGAUCAGUCACACUGGAAAUGAGACACGGUCCAGAUUCCUACGGGAGGAAGCAGUGGGGAAUAUUGGACAAGGGGCGAAAGCCUGAUCCAGACAUGCCGCGUGUGUGAAGAAGGUCUUCGGAUUGUAAAGCACUUUAAGUUGGGAGGCGUUACCAACAGAAUAAGCACCGGCUAACUUCGUGCCAGCCGCCGCGGUAAUAC